rnacentral:rRNA from 1 species
GACGAACGCUGGCGGCGUGCCUAAUACAUGCAAGUAGAACGCACAGGAUGCACCGUAGUUUACUACACCGUAUUCUGUGAGUUGCGAACGGGUGAGUAACGCGUAGGUAACCUGCCUGGUAGUGGGGGAUAACUAUUGGAAACGAUAGCUAAUACCGCAUAAGAACAUUUACUGCAUGGUAGAUGUUUAAAAGGUGCAAAAGCAUCACUACCAGAUGGACCUGCGUUGUAUUAGCUAGUUGGUGAGGUAACGGCUCACCAAGGCAACGAUACAUAGCCGACCUGAGAGGGUGAUCGUCCACACUGGGACUGAGACACGGCCCAGACUCCUACGGGAGGGCAGCAGUAGGGAAUCUUCGGCAAUGGGGGGAACCCCUGACCGAGCAAACGCCGCGUGAGUGAAGAAGGUUUUCGGAUCG